UCCCCUUGUUGCCGGGUCCCAUGGCGACAGCUGCGCUCUCUGAGGUCAGUUUUCCCAGGAAAACGGGAACCCACGGCGUCCGGCGAGAUGGGAGCAGCCGCCCCUGCGGGUCCUGAGCGGCACCCUCACGCCCCGCUUCGAAGACACCCUUGACGUUACAAAUGGCUUUGAGGGGUUAUUAAGGGCAGCUCCGGAUGAGACCACCCCAGCACCCACACUGGUGUGUCUUCUGAUAAAACGGCUCUUUCUAUCAGGCGAGCCUUCCGCCACCAGGCGACGUGACGAGUUUGCAGAAGUGCCGGCCCCCUGUGAGAGCUCACAGGGCCAGCCCGCAGUGGGGCGGGGGAGGGAGGGGGCA